AAAAGAAUGUGCUAUCUUAUUACCAAUGAAACGAAUAGAAGAGUGAACUUUAGGCCAACCUCUUAAUCCUUAAGGCGUUAGAGCCUUAAAUCCCACCUGCCAUGGAAUAUUCUGGGAAUAUUCGUGUGGUUCGUGUCACAUUUCGACAAGGCAGCUCUCCACGAAAAUGGAUCCACACCUCCUCUCCAGCGCCUGCGAGUGGAUUGCCAUUCCAAUCUCCAGCGAUCUCGUCUUGGAAAGCCGUGGCAAUGCUAGAGCAUGCCUUGGCCGCAGCAACAAAAGUUCUCGAGUUUGGAGUCGCGCAUUGGCGAGAAGAGGGAGAGCGCCGCCAAUCCAUUGUCGUUCUCUGCGUAACCGAGCAUGAGCGCAUUCCACGAGACAAUGUCAUGGCUGGGCAUGGCGUCAAAUACCUCUCGUGCUUCGCCUAUGAGGGAGUACAUGUCCACCAGGCUGCUGCCCACGAAGAGAUCGCCCGCCACUUCACUGGCUAUGGCGUCGGAGUGGAGCUCCCGCCUCCUCUUGGCAUC
rnacentral:lncRNA from 1 species